rnacentral:rRNA from 1 species
UACGUAGGGUGCGAGCGUUAAUCGGAAUUACUGGGCGUAAAGCGUGCGCAGGCGGUUUUGCAAGCCGGAUGUGAAAUCCCCGGGCUUAACCUGGGAAUGGCAUUUGGGACUGCAAGGCUGGAGUGCGGCAGAGGAGACUGGAAUUCCUGGUGUAGCAGUGAAAUGCGUAGAUAUCAGGAGGAACACCGAUGGCGAAGGCAGGUCUCUGGGCUGACACUGACGCUGAGACGCGAAAGCGUGGGGAGCAAACAGG